CAGUAGCCGCGGUAAUACGGAGGGUGCAAGCGUUAAUCGGAAUUACUGGGCGUAAAGCGCACGCAGGCGGUCUGACAAGUCAGAUGUGAAAUCCCCGGGCUUAACCUGGGAACUGCAUUUGAAACUGUCAGGCUGGAGUCUUGUAGAGGGGGGUAGAAUUCCAGGUGUAGCGGUGAAAUGCGUAGAGAUCUGGAGGAAUACCGGUGGCGAAGGCGGCCCCCUGGACAAAGACUGACGCUCAGGUGCGAAGGCGUGGGGAGCAAACAGGAUUAGAUACCCCAGUAGUCCCUGUCUCUUAUAC
rnacentral:rRNA from 1 species